UAAGACAAAAAAAUUGAAACAAAGGGAGUACAACUUUCUCUAUGGAAUUGUUCGACUUGACUGAUAAAACCAAUUCAAUCUCUGUACAUGAAAUACCCAAAAUCAACUGAACUACAACAAUAACUUAAUAAACAAUAGCACCUUGACCACAUGUUCUGGACAGUGAUGGCCAUUGCCAGCCCAGGUCUUCCCUGGGAUGGAAUGGUCCCAUCCCCAACAAGUAGAUCAAAUUACAGCAAUAGUCACCAGAGGGUUACACGACGCAAAUGGAUAAGCCAUUUGGAGUAAAACUGGCUGAUAGGGAUGCAUGAGCACUGGCGAAAUUCUGCACUCCGUGACAAUCCUCCUGGACGGCAGCUGGGGUCUUGGGACCAAUCAUCUUCACAAGAACCCUGAAUACCUUUGUGGGCGCUGCCAGUAUGCCACUGUCUGCUGAAAAACACAAGAAACAAAAACAAAAGCCAAGACGAAAUUUCCUCCACAACAACUAAGAAAAAAUUGAUCAUAGUGGGAUUCGAACCCACGACCUAUAGAUUCGGAAUCUAACGCGAUAUCCACUUCGCUAUAUGACCAUUAUUGGUUUCAGUACACAAAUUUUGAUACAUAGGGGCACCUACAUCCAUGUCCUAACUUCAAAGAGGGAAGGGCACCAGAGACAACAGAUAAGGCUAAGGCACAGACAUAACUAGUAAGGCACACACAUAUAACUAGUAUCAGCAACAUCAGACUGAAACAAAGGUGGUAAAUAAGAACUGGCAUCAAAUUAUCAGUAGGGGAAGCACACUCUGACUCACACGUCUAUAGAACCGGUUAGAUCGGUUAAUUCGUGUGAAGGUUGUUAUUGCGAACAGCUUUUGGAGUUUGGGGUGAAACUCGAACCAAAACAGAGGGUUAUACAGUGAACCCUAAGACAUGUUCACAGGGGUAAUCUGGACUUCCAUCUACAUCUGUAGAAUGAAAACCAAAGCACGGCACAUUUCCCAAAUAUGCAACAUAUACAGUCAUGGAUGAUUUAUUAUAAACUCCUAAAUGAUGAUUUUACUAACACUAUUGCACUGUACAUGGACUUCUGUAUCUAGGAAUGAUGCCACAUAGGAUUGAAUCUGAUGUGGAAGGUUAAAGAAGAGAGAGAGGGUACCCAUGUCUUACAAAAGAUACAACUAAAAUUAGAAAACCAAAGCAUAUGUGGGUCACUUCAGUGCUGGACGAAUCCAUUGCGCCCCUGCCUCCAAAAUGAAAUCCAUGUUUGUAUUAUUUCUUCCUCUAACCUUCCCCGUACUCCCUUACAAAUCCGGUGAUUGUUCUCUGCCUAGUUUCUUCCUGUUGCGGUAACAGACGGGGAGACACUGCACUGCCCUCAGACAGCGACCUACUCUGGCGUCGGAGGUCACCCCUUCACCAGAUCUGCAUGGCCAGCGGCAACACCAGCCAGGGUCUCCUUCACCAUUGACUGUCUCCAGUGACGGCAGCAUCAUCAUCACUUGCUGUGUGCUGAGUUUAAGGUGUUAUUUUUGUUCAGGUCUGGUUGGGAGAGUCAGAGACAUGGAGAAGCUUUCGGGCAAACACUAAGCAAGCUUACGUGAUACUACCCUCGAGUGAUAUAAUGCAUCGUAUAGGUAUAGUAAGAGAUAAUCUCGGCUGACACAUAUACUCUCGCACUCUGUAAUACCUGUCUUUUGCUUUACAUGUUCCUCACUGCGAUGACAGUACAAAUUGGGAUUUAAAUGCAGUGCCUGUUUGCUUUUGACUUCUUCUGUUUAUUCAGCAGUAAUCUUUUUUCUCC
rnacentral:lncRNA from 1 species